rnacentral:ncRNA from 2 species
UAUUCUCUUCCGGGAGAGAGCGGCAUUCGGUAGCCGCCGCCGAAGGCGCAACCGCCCCGGAAACGCUCAGGCAAAAGGGCCGGAAGAGGAUC